AUAUCUUGUUUUGACUCAUGGCCUGCUCAAUAGUCAAGCCAUCGAGGUUAUGGGCGAUAUGGGCGGCCUCGAUUGAACUUUCCUCUCCAAUUUCGCUAUAUGGUGGGAAUUCCUGCAAGUUUUAGCCAGUCAUAGGUAGCUAAGUUUCUCUUUUGUUGGAUCCUGCUCUGUACUUUGUACCUUACUUGUGGCAUUCUUAUAAUAUCAACAUAGACCAAGGAAAAGGUAUGGGUUUCAUGUUUGCUUCUAUACAUGCAUGAGUUUAUCACGCAUUUACACCUGCAUGUGCCACUUGGUGGAUAGGUUGCUAGCAUUUGUGUAAUCACACAUCUAUUAAAGGAAUGACAGAGAUCCUAGGUUUUUGUCAACGCACCUGCAACCUUUGAAUUCUUGCUGGAUUUAUUCCUGCAAUCAUUUGCCGGGCGAACUCGCGAUCAUCUUUCCAGGCCCAUUUGUCCUCUAAGAACCAAAAGGAACAAACGAGUAUCAAAUUUUCUGCAUUUUACGUGAAAGAUGCCCCAAACUUCAAGUUCCAAGCAUUGCCCAAGUUACCUGCUAUUAUCUGAGGAACUUUCUCCACCUGUUGCCCUUGAUUGCCAGAAAACACUUCAAGCAUCUCAUUGAAUGAGUCAAAACUGCCCGAAUCCUCUUUGACUAAGGAUUUCUUCUCUGUAGCCAGAUUCUUGGGGCAAAUGAAGAAAGACAGACCAGGAUCAUACCGUUAUUGCUACAAGUGCGUCCUGUUCGAAUCCUACGAGGAUAAGGAUGUGCUUGGUUCCCACCUAGGAUGGGUCUUGCAUGGUCGUGACCUUGGUCAGCAUUGCCAAGAUCACCAUAGUGAUCGUAUUCAUAUAUCCUCUCCCAUUCCUUCCUCUCUCCCGUGCCAUCUCCCCUCACGCUAUGAAGUUCCUCUCUUCUCAGUUCUACCAUAGCUGCUGGUGUUUGGUUUGGAAGACAACACUAUCAUGAAGAUGGAUUUAAGUGCUUUAUUUCCAUUCAAAGUGGAUGAUCUCGACACUUGAGACCUCGAAGGUGGCAGACUGGAGGAAGAAUUUAUGUUUAUGCUCAUUGGUUAUGAGGAAAGCUCCUGGAAUUCCAAAUUCUGCUUCCACUUUGAACUUCACACUGUACACGGAGAAAGAUCCAACUUCCAAAAUGCAACAUUAACAGCUCGUAGUUACCAAAAUUAUCAGGUGAUUUUUCUGUGAGAAUUGUAACUAACAGCUGGCAGGACCAGCUGAAGGUGGGCUGGUAGAUCAAGGAGUGAAGAUAGAGAUCGAUAUCCUUUAUCAUGUUACACCCACAUGAGGUGAGAAGCAGAAUUCUCGGGAUUGAUGCUAACAAGACAGGAGAAUUAGCAUAGUAUGCAGAACCAUUGAGAAUAUGAAAGAAAAUAAAACAUACUGCAAAGUCGAACGUAAGCUGAUUUACCGGGUCCUGAAUGCCCUGGAUCUGCCACGACGACAAUUUCUCCAUGGAUCAUGCUGUGUCUGGAGGGAACAGCCUCUCCCAUAAUCAAAUGGUCCGUCAUUUUGCUGUGAAUGGUGUUCACGUACUUCGUGAUGCGAAGAGUUAGGGGAAGCGGUUUCUUUUUAGCUGUGCUCAUGGUCUUUCUCAAGAUUUGUAAUGUACCCCGGAAUGACGGUAAAGAAGCAUUGAGAACUCAAGCUGUGGAAUUCCCUAGCAUAGGAAGUAAUGUCAGAGUUAACAUGAAGACGUUCUGAUCUUUAGCCUUUAGCUAUGCCUCAGGAUCCUUUGCUUGUCUCUGAGGUUUCUUCUCUGGCACUCAUAGAAAAAUUCCCAGCUCAGCAAGAUCUUCCUUUUUCUUUCUCUUUUAA